rnacentral:rRNA from 1 species
UUAAGCGACUAAGCGUACACGGUGGAUGCCCUGGCAGUCAGAGGCGAUGAAGGACGUGCUAAUCUGCGAUAAGCGUCGGUAAGGUGAUAUGAACCGUUAUAACCGGCGAUUUCCGAAUGGGGAAACCCAGUGUGUUUCGACACACUAUCAUUAACUGAAUCCAUAGGUUAAUGAGGCGAACCGGGGGAACUGAAACAUCUAAGUACCCCGAGGAAAAGAAAUCAACCGAGAUUCCCCCAGUAGCGGCGAGCGAACGGGGAGCAGCCCAGAGCCUGAAUCAGUGUGUGUGUUAGUGGAAGCGUCUGGAAAGGCGCGCGAUACAGGGUGACAGCCCCGUACACAAAAAUGCACAUGCUGUGAGCUCGAUGAGUAGGGCGGGACACGUGGUAUCCUGUCUGAAUAUGGGGGGACCAUCCUCCAAGGCUAAAUACUCCUGACUGACCGAUAGUGAACCAGUACCGUGAGGGAAAGGCGAAAAGAACCCCGGCGAGGGGAGUGAAAAAGAACCUGAAACCGUGUACGUACAAGCAGUGGGAGCACGCUUAGGCGUGUGACUGCGUACCUUUUGUAUAAUGGGUCAGCGACUUAUAUUCUGUAGCAAGGUUAACCGAAUAGGGGAGCCGAAGGGAAACCGAGUCUUAACUGGGCGUUAAGUUGCAGGGUAUAGACCCGAAACCCGGUGAUCUAGCCAUGGGCAGGUUGAAGGUUGGGUAACACUAACUGGAGGACCGAACCGACUAAUGUUGAAAAAUUAGCGGAUGACUUGUGGCUGGGGGUGAAAGGCCAAUCAAACCGGGAGAUAGCUGGUUCUCCCCGAAAGCUAUUUAGGUAGCGCCUCGUGAAUUCAUCUCCGGGGGUAGAGCACUGUUUCGGCAAGGGGGUCAUCCCGACUUACCAACCCGAUGCAAACUGCGAAUACCGGAGAAUGUUAUCACGGGAGACACACGGCGGGUGCUAACGUCCGUCGUGAAGAGGGAAACAACCCAGACCGCCAGCUAAGGUCCCAAAGUCAUGGUUAAGUGGGAAACGAUGUGGGAAGGCCCAGACAGCCAGGAUGUUGGCUUAGAAGCAGCCAUCAUUUAAAGAAAGCGUAAUAGCUCACUGGUCGAGUCGGCCUGCGCGGAAGAUGUAACGGGGCUAAACCAUGCACCGAAGCUGCGGCAGCGACGCUGAUGCGUUGUUGGGUAGGGGAGCGUUCUGUAAGCCUGCGAAGGUGUGCUGUGAGGCAUGCUGGAGGUAUCAGAAGUGCGAAUGCUGACAUAAGUAACGAUAAAGCGGGUGAAAAGCCCGCUCGCCGGAAGACCAAGGGUUCCUGUCCAACGUUAAUCGGGGCAGGGUGAGUCGACCCCUAAGGCGAGGCCGAAAGGCGUAGUCGAUGGGAAACAGGUUAAUAUUCCUGUACUUGGUGUUACUGCGAAGGGGGGACGGAGAAGGCUAUGUUGGCCGGGCGACGGUUGUCCCGGUUUAAGCGUGUAGGCUGGUUUUCCAGGCAAAUCCGGAAAAUCAAGGCUGAGGCGUGAUGACGAGGCACUACGGUGCUGAAGCAACAAAUGCCCUGCUUCCAGGAAAAGCCUCUAAGCAUCAGGUAACAUCAAAUCGUACCCCAAACCGACACAGGUGGUCAGGUAGAGAAUACCAAGGCGCUUGAGAGAACUCGGGUGAAGGAACUAGGCAAAAUGGUGCCGUAACUUCGGGAGAAGGCACGCUGAUAUGUAGGUGAAGUCCCUCGCGGAUGGAGCUGAAAUCAGUCGAAGAUACCAGCUGGCUGCAACUGUUUAUUAAAAACACAGCACUGUGCAAACACGAAAGUGGACGUAUACGGUGUGACGCCUGCCCGGUGCCGGAAGGUUAAUUGAUGGGGUUAGCGCAAGCGAAGCUCUUGAUCGAAGCCCCGGUAAACGGCGGCCGUAACUAUAACGGUCCUAAGGUAGCGAAAUUCCUUGUCGGGUAAGUUCCGACCUGCACGAAUGGCGUAAUGAUGGCCAGGCUGUCUCCACCCGAGACUCAGUGAAAUUGAACUCGCUGUGAAGAUGCAGUGUACCCGCGGCAAGACGGAAAGACCCCGUGAACCUUUACUAUAGCUUGACACUGAACAUUGAGCCUUGAUGUGUAGGAUAGGUGGGAGGCUUGGAAGUGUGGACGCCAGUCUGCAUGGAGCCGACCUUGAAAUACCACCCUUUAAUGUUUGAUGUUCUAACGUUGACCCGUAAUCCGGGUUGCGGACAGUGUCUGGUGGGUAGUUUGACUGGGGCGGUCUCCUCCUAAAGAGUAACGGAGGAGCACGAAGGUUGGCUAAUCCUGGUCGGACAUCAGGAGGUUAGUGCAAUGGCAUAAGCCAGCUUGACUGCGAGCGUGACGGCGCGAGCAGGUGCGAAAGCAGGUCAUAGUGAUCCGGUGGUUCUGAAUGGAAGGGCCAUCGCUCAACGGAUAAAAGGUACUCCGGGGAUAACAGGCUGAUACCGCCCAAGAGUUCAUAUCGACGGCGGUGUUUGGCACCUCGAUGUCGGCUCAUCACAUCCUGGGGCUGAAGUAGGUCCCAAGGGUAUGGCUGUUCGCCAUUUAAAGUGGUACGCGAGCUGGGUUUAGAACGUCGUGAGACAGUUCGGUCCCUAUCUGCCGUGGGCGCUGGAGAACUGAGGGGGGCUGCUCCUAGUACGAGAGGACCGGAGUGGACGCAUCACUGGUGUUCGGGUUGUCAUGCCAAUGGCACUGCCCGGUAGCUAAAUGCGGAAGAGAUAAGUGCUGAAAGCAUCUAAGCACGAAACUUGCCCCGAGAUGAGUUCUCCCUGACUCCUUGAGAGUCCUGAAGGAACGUUGAAGACGACGACGUUGAUAGGCCGGGUGUGUAAGCGCAGCGAUGCGUUGAGCUAACCGGUACUAAUGAACCGUGAGGCUUAACCUU